rnacentral:snoRNA from 1 species
AUUCCAUGAUGUGGACACUUUGGAAUAUACUCCUAGAGAUGUUCCCAUACUUCAGGAAUAGUCUCAUCUGCCUAUUGUUGGAGGCUUGAUGUAACAUCCCGGCC